rnacentral:rRNA from 1 species
UACGAAGGGUGCAAGCUUUACUCGGAAUUACUGGGCGUAAAGCGUGCGUAGGCGGUUGUUUAAGUCUGCUGUGAAAUCCCCGGGCUCAACCUGGGAAUGGCAGUGGAUACUGGACAGCUAGAGUGUGUCAGAGGAUGGUGGAAUUCCCGGUGUAGCGGUGAAAUGCGGAGAGAUCGGGAGGAACAUCAGUGGCGAAGGCGGCCAUCUGGGACAACACUGACGCUGAGGCACGAAAGCGUGGGGAGCAAACAGG